rnacentral:rRNA from 1 species
CGUCAAGUCCUCAUGGCCCUUAUGGGUAGGGCUUCACACGUCAUACAAUGGUCGGUACAGAGGGUUGCCAAGCCGCGAGGCGGAGCCAAUCCCACAAAGCCGAUCGUAGUCCGGAUUGUUCUCUGCAACUCGAGAGCAUGAAGUCGGAAUCGCUAGUAAUCGCAGGUCAGCAUACUGCGGUGAAUACGUUCCCGGGUCUU